UACGUAGGGACCAAGCGUUGUUCGGAUUUACUGGGCGUAAAGGGCGCGUAGGCGGCUUGUCAAGUCACUUGUGAAAUCUCUGGGCUUAACCCAGAACGGCCAAGUGAAACUGACAUGCUAGAGUGCAGAAGGGGCAAUCGGAAUUCUUGGUAUAGCGGUGAAAUGCGUAGAUAUCAAGAGGAACACCUGAGGUGAAGACGGGUUGCUGGGCUGACACUGACGCUGAGGCGCGAAAGCCAGGGGAGCAAACGGG
rnacentral:rRNA from 1 species